rnacentral:rRNA from 1 species
GAGAGAGACAUGCGCGCAUAUCAAUAAGCGGAGGAAAAGAAACUAACAAGGAUUCCCCUAGUAACGGCGAGUGAAGCGGGAAGAGCUCAAAUUUGAAAUCUUAAAGGGUUUCCCUUUACGAAUUGUAGUUUAAAGAAGUGUUUUCUGUUGAGGUUUUGGUAAAAGUUCUUUGGAAUAGGACAUCAUAGAGGGUGAGAAUCCCGUAUUUGACCUUUACUUUCAACUUUGUGACACACUUUCAAAGAGUCGGAUUGUUUGGGAAUGCAGUCCAAAAUGGGUGGUAAAUUUCAUCUAAAGCUAAAUAUUGGCGAGAGACCGAUAGCGAACAAGUACCGUGAGGGAAAGAUGAAAAGAACUUUGAAAAGAGAGUUAAACAGUACGUGAAAUUGUCAAAAGGGAAGCGUUUGACACCAGUGUUGUUUUUCUGAAAAUCAAUUAAAGAACUGUUUAUGCUAAGCUGUUUAGACUUUAUCAGCUAUCUGUUUAGUUUUGAGCUUUUCUUUAAUGCACUUUUCAGUUAACAAGUCAACAUCAAUUUCUUUUGCUGUAAAAAAGCUUGAGGAAGGUGGCUUGAGAUUCGUCUUAAGUGUUUAUAGCCUCUUGCCUAUGCAGUCGGAGAGAUUGAGGUCUGCAGCGUAGAUCCUUCGGGGCUAAACGCAUUUGUGCUAAGUUAUAGCAUUUUAUAGACAACUUGUUGACUAUGAUUUGUCUUGUAGCUUACUCGCUUAUGUUAUUUUACCUACGCUUAGGAUGUUGACGCAUGAGAUAUACGC